GAUAGUACUCAACGGCGCAUCACGCCUGUAAUAAAAAUUUCUAAAACGAAAUUUAAGUUAAAAGUUUGGUGUCAUAUAUGGGCGAGGCGCUAUGCGGGGUCGUCGACGCAUCGACGAUUCGAGUUAAACCAUAUUGUUUUCUGUCGAGUUCAUUUCGAAUAUUUGGAAGUGAAGUGCAUGGUGACAAAAAGGAGACUUUUAUAUUUUUAAAGUGAGCUUUCGCAUAUCCGUCAUAAAAGGAGCUUUAUCUUGGGGGUUUUUCUAAAGUCAAGAAGUAAUGCAAGUUUAGUGUGCGUGCUGGAAGUUAGUGUGCAUAUAUACAUAAGUAUAUGUUACAAUUCAAGGCCAUAAAGUUGUAGACACCCAUCUUCUCUCUUUCACAUAUACAUUUGUCUGCCAGCA